AACGAACGCUGGCGGCAUGCCUAACACAUGCAAGUCGAACGAGACCUUCGGGUCUAGUGGCGCACGGGUGCGUAACGCGUGGGAAUCUGCCCUUGGGUUCGGAAUAACAGCGAGAAAUUGCUGCUAAUACCGGAUGAUGACGUAAGUCCAAAGAUUUAUCGCCCAAGGAUGAGCCCGCGUAGGAUUAGCUAGUUGGUGAGGUAAAGGCUCACCAAGGCGACGAUCCUUAGCUGGUCUGAGAGGAUGAUCAGCCACACUGGGACUGAGACACGGCCCAGGCUCCUACGGGAGGCAGCAGUGGGGAAUAUUGGACAAUGGGCGAAAGCCUGAUCCAGCAAUGCCGCGUGAGUGAUGAAGGCCUUAGGGUUGUAAAGCUCUUUUACCCGGGAAGAUAAUGACUGUACCGGGAGAAUAAGCCCCGGCUAACUCCGUGCCAGCAGCCGCGGUAA
rnacentral:rRNA from 1 species